GACGAACGCUGGCGGCGUGCCUAAUACAUGCAAGUAGAACGCACAGAUUAUACCGUUGCUCGCUACACCAUAGACUGUGAGUUGCGAACGAGAGAGUAACGAGUAUGUAACCUGACUGGUAUCGGGGGAUAACUAUUGGAAACGAUAGCUAAUACCGCAUAAUAUUGAUUGUUGAAUGAUAAUUAACUGUAAGGUUGAAUCGUACCACUACCAGAUGGACCUACUUAGUAUUAGCUAGUAGGUAGGGUAACGGCAGCCCAAGGCAAUGAUACAUAUCCGACCGGAGAGUGGGGUCGCCCACACGGGAACUGAGCCACGGUCCAGACUCCUACGGGAGGCGGCAGUAGGGAAUUUUGCACAAGGGUCAAAAGCCUAACGGAGCAACGCCGCGUGAGUGAUGAAGGUCGUCGGAUCGUAAAACUCUUUUAUUGGGAAAGAACAGAUGGGUAAGUAAAUAUUCACGUCUUGACGGUACCUAAACAGAAAGCCACGGCUAACUACGUG
rnacentral:rRNA from 1 species